UUAGAUUGUAAAAGUAGAUCUAGGUUAGAUUGUAAGAGUAGAUCUAGGUUAGAUUGUAAAAGUAGAUCUAGGUUAGAUUGUAAGAGUAGAUCUAGGUUAGAUUGUAAGAGUAGAUCUAGGUUAGAUUGUAAGAGUAGAUCUAGUUUAGAUUGUAAGAGUAGAUCUAGGUUAGAUUGUAAGAGUAGAUCUAGGUUAGAUUGUAAAAGUAGAUCUAGGUUAGAUUGUAAGAGUAGAUCUAGGUUAGAUUGUAGAAGUAGAUCUAGGUUAGAUUGUAAAAGUUCUGAAUCAGAACUUUAGUAUACCUUCCUCGCUGACCGAAUAAAAAAAUGCGUAUUUUCUAGCAGCUGAAUGUGUCACGGGUUCGAAACCCGAAUUGAACCUUAACAUUUUAAAAUUAUUAUUUCUUUCUCAUUGUAUUAUAUUAUGAAGUUUAAUAAAAAAUAGUUUUUUUUA